UAACUCCGUGUAUGGGUAGAACAGCCGAAAGGCUCUCUGACGCUUGCUGUUUUGCGUGGUUAGCCCUUAGCACGGAGUUGCU
rnacentral:ncRNA from 1 species